AAGAAGAAGAGCAACCGGCUGAGGAGGCGCCGGCCUCGGCCCCGGGCCCGGCCAGGCCCGGCCCGUCCCGCCCUUGACGGGAUCCCUGAGAUGACCACACUGGACAGAUACCGAGGCGGGAGGCUCCCCCACACCACUCCUCCAACAGAGUCCAGCGCGGCUCAUAAGGGCAGCUCCCCGGACACCAACUGGCAGACUCCAACCGUCUCCGACAAGUUCCGGGGCCGUCUCGCCCGCUGCCCGGGGGCCCCAGAUGGCAGGGACGUGGACAUUGGUGCCCCGUGCCUGGACAUCGUCGAAGGUUUCUGCCGGAUGAGCGGCAGCCCAUCAUUCCAGCCCAUCAAAAGCCAAGUGACCAUCCCCACGGCCCAUGUGAUGCCCUCUACCCUGGGCGCCUCCCCCACCAAGCCGUGCCCACCGGUUGAGGCCGGCUGCCCCCACCCCACGUCGCCCUCCCCCUCGCCGGCUGAGAUCAGCGGGCCGCCGAGGGACGGAGACGGCGGUGGCGUGAAGCCGGCCCCGGGGCUGGCCCCCGGAUUCCUGUCCUACUGCGGCCCGGCGGGGGCCAACGGCGGCGGCCAGCCCUGGUUCCCCGGCCCCGACCCGGCCGGACCCGACGAGGGGAGAGCGUUCGACACACCGAGCAUCGAGCCCACCUUGAACCAGUCGGCGAUGAUGGAGGCGGCAUCCGCCGACCCCCGCUACCGCUUCCUCCUCUGCCCGCCGGCCGCCGAGCCGGAGCCGUAUAAGACGCUACCCGAGGCUCGGCCGGCCCCCGGGGGCGGCCCGGUUGGCGGGGAGCGGAGCCGGCCCGGCGGCGGCCCGGGCCCGGUGGGGCUGCAGCCCGCUCCCGGCUUCCCCAGGCCGCUGACGCUGCAGCCUCCGGCGUGGAUCGCGGACCCCUACACCCCUCAUCCCCCCGAAAGGGUCUAUGAACCCGGCGCUUGCCGGCCACAGCUCGAGUCCAUCCAGGUGCAAGUGGAACAGAUGCAGCUCCAGAACGGACCGGCCCGGCCCCACCCGCCGGCCUGCCUCCCUGCCCUGUCCCCGCUGGAGCCGGCGCAGUGGCUCAGCGUCCUCAGCAGCAACGAGAUGCUCCUGAAAGAGAAGGAGUUCCUCAUAGACAAGCAGAGGCAGCACAUCUGCCAGCUGGAGCAGAAAUUGCGGGAGAGCGAGCUGCGGGUGCAAGGGGCUCUGAUGGGCCGAGCGGCCCCCUACGGGGACCUCUGGAUGCUAAGACUGCAGGAGCUGCAGCGGGACAACACUUUCCUGCGAGCGCAGUUCGCCCAGAAGACUGAAUCUCUGAGCAGGGAGAAGGUGGACCUGGAAAGAAAACUGGCCGCUUCCGAGGUGGAAGGGCAGCGGUCCCGAGAGAUGCUCAAGGGAGCUCUGCAGAAGCACAUGGAGGAGGGGAAGAAACAGGAAGAGAGGGUGAAAGGGAGAGACAAACACAUCAACGGCCUGAAGAAGAAGUGCCAGAAGGAGCUGGAGCAGAACCGGGAGAAGCAGCAGCGCAUAGAGACCCUGGAACGUUACCUGGCUGGACUACCGACCCUGGAGGAGCAUCAGAGGCAGAGCCAGAGGCUGCAGGAAUCUGAGCUGGAAAGCGCCGACCUGCGGGAGAGGGUGGCAGAGCUGGAGAGGGAGCUGGAGGAGACCCGGGGAGCCUGCAGGGAGAGGGAGGCCCAGCUGGACAGCCAGAAGCAGAGAGAACUGGAGCUCGUCUCCAACAUCCACACCUUGCAAGACGAGGCGGGGUCUGCCAAGAAGCAAGACGAGGCGGGAUCUGCCAAGAAGCAGGCGACCGGAGACGGUCCGGCCCAGCCUGCGGCCGGCCCCAACGUGGAAACCGAAUCGUUGCAGAAAGAACGUGAUUCCCUCCGGAAAGUUGUGGACAAGCAACAGAAGAAGAUGGACCAGCUGUGCUCCCGCAUCAAGGACCUGGAGCAGGAGGUGGCCCAGGAGGAGGGGACUAGCCAGGCCCUCAAGGAGGAGGCCCAGAAGAGAGAGGAUGCAGUGCAGCAGCUGCGCACAGCCAUGAGAGAGCUUUCAGGGCAGAACCAGGAUCUGAUCGAGAAGAACCUGACCCUGCAGGAGCGCCUCCGGCAGAACGGGCCCGACCAGCAGCCCGGGGCCGAUACGGCCCAGUUGGCCCACGAGCUGUACCGGGAGCUGCUUAGCUGCCUGGGGAAGCUACAGGCUGUGUGCAGCAUCAUCACCCAGAGGGCCCAGGGCCUAGACCCCAACCUCUCUCUGCUCCUGGGCAUCCACUCCACCCAGCAAGUAGGCAUCGAGGCUGAGCUCCAGAAGCCGGACGUGCUCCCGCUGAAGCUGGCGGAAGUCAGGCAGCUGCACCAGGACAUAGAGGAGCUGCGGACGACGCUGUCGGACCGCUAUGCCCAGGAUAUGGGCGACAACUGCAUCGCGCAGUGAGGCCGGGAGCGGGGCCGGAGGGUGGGGCCUCGGGCUCUGGCGACCCCCUCCCACCUCUCGACUGCCAUCAGUGCCCUUGCCCGGGGAGGGGAGAGGAGGUUGGCUCACCCGGCAGUGGCCUCAAUCACUCUGAAUACAUUAGCCAGGGCUGCUGCUGCCCUCGACUCAUCCCAUGAGGGUGAGUAACCGACUGGUGCUACUGGCCACUGCCCCGGGGCCCCGGCCCAUGGAGACAUCACCACCUUUGCCCCCAAAAUCCUGGUCAAACCAUGCUGGAAAACCACCCACCUGCCCGCGGAGCUCACUGGCAUCAGUCGGGGAGGACUGGGCUCCAGCCCCCGGGCCGUCUCGUUCCCUGGUUCCCGUUCCGGCGCCCGUAGCGGCGGUGGGACCAGAGGACCGGGAUGGCCCGGGGGUUGGGACGUCCAGUCCUUUUCCUCUGCCGCUCCCCACAGGCUGGGUGCCAACCGCUAGGCCGAAGGGGGCAUGGGGGAGGAGUGCGUUCAUCUCAGUGAUUUCCCCCAGGGGAACCUCAGGGAAUUGGGUCCCCAGCUUCCUGGGCCUAGCCAGAUACACGUCACGAGAUGGCAGCCGCAGAGCCCGGCUUUCCACACCGCUUCCCCUUUCCCUUCUGACCUGGUCUGUGUCUGCCCUUUUGGUCGUUUCCCUGCCUCAUCCACUGUAGCCUCAUUCAGGCUUGUCCCUCCAGCAGCUGUGUGGGCAUCUGGGAGGGGACAUGCCAAAUCUUCUGACCUCCCAGCGGGGGGAUCAGCUCCUCGGCCACCCCUCCUCAGCCCAUUGUGGGCCUAGAGUAGCGUCUGCUUUCUUGGAAAGUGUCACUGUGGGGGCCCGGGCCUACUGGGUGCGUGGGGCUCUCUCUACCAGCCCCACCCCCAGGCCACCUUCACUUCCAGCCCAGGUUGGACCUUGAUUGUUUACAGAUCUGAUCCGCCACCCUGUUUGAGGCAGGCCCUGUGCUGGCCUCACGCCAGGCCAGGCUUGGCUCCGGCCAUCUGGGAAGCCCCGCUUUGCCUCCAGCUGGCCGGCGGGAGCCCUCGGCCAGCAGGGAGGACCAGCCCAGUGCCUUUCAACCCUCCGGCAGGCCUUGCAGGUCAGCUUGCCGGCCCGUGGCCCGGGCCCACCCUCGCAGUCCGUCUGCAAGUGUUCCACGUUGAGUUUCCAGAACCGGUUACGAGUUUCCCCAGGCUGGUCCACCCACUCACCGGUCCCCAGGCCUCCCCCUCGGCCGCUCCUGCUCCAGCCACCCCGGCCCGUGUCCCCAACGCCUUGCGCAGUCUGCUUGCAGAGCCGCCAACGGUCCGUCCGCCCUCCACCUCCGCCGCUGGGAUCCCAGGGCGAAGCUCACGGAGCACUGUACUAGUUGCUUGGCGAUGCCACCCCACCAACUCUGGAGCAAGGGUGAGCUCCCAGGCUGUGCCAGAGAAACAAGGAACUGCGUAGGCCAAGCCGGUGAGUAAGUUGUUUUUGUUUUUUCCAACGAGGCUCAGGGGGAGCCGCCGGAAACGGAGGCUGCCACAU